rnacentral:misc_RNA from 1 species
GAUGAAGAACGCAGCGAAAUGCGAUAAGUAAUGUGAAUUGCAGAAUUCAGUGAAUCAUCGAAUCUUUGAACGCACCUUGCGCCCUUUGGACAUUCCGAAGGGCAUGCCUGUUUGAGUAUCAUGAACACCUCAACUCUCACGGCUUGUCCGUGAUGAGCUUGGACUUUGGGGGUCUUGCCGGCCUGUGGUCGGCUCCUCUCAAAUGGAUCAGCUUGCCAGUGUUUGGUGGCAUCACAGGUGUGAUAACUAUCUGCGCUUGUGGUUUUCCAUCAGAUAACCUUCAGUGAUAUGGAGGUUCGCUGGAGCUCACAAAUGUCUCUCCUUAGUGAGGACAGCUCUUUGAACGUUUGAUCUCAAAUCAGGUAGGACUACCCGCUGAACUUAAGCAUAUCAAUAAGCGGAGAA